rnacentral:tRNA from 1 species
GGGAAGGUGGCUUAGUGGUAAAGCGCUUGCCUUGUAUGCAUGAGGCCCUGGG